rnacentral:rRNA from 1 species
GACGAACGCUUGCUUCGUGCCUAAUACAUGCAAGUAGAACGCUGAAGGAGGAGCUUGCUUCUCUGGAUGAGUUGCGAACGGGUGAGUAACGCGUAGGUAACCUGCCUGGUAGCGGGGGAUAACUAUUGGAAACGAUAGCUAAUACCGCAUAAGAGUAGAUGUUGCAUGACAUUUACUUAAAAGGUGCAAUUGCAUCACUACCAGAUGGACCUGCGUUGUAUUAGCUAGUUGGUGAGGUAACGGCUCACCAAGGCAACGAUACAUAGCCGACCUGAGAGGGUGAGCGGCCACACUGGGACUGAGACACGGCCCAGACUCCUACGGGAGGCAGCAGUAGGGAAUCUUCGGCAAUGGACGGAAGUCUGACCGAGCAACGCCGCGUGAGUGAAGAAGGUUUUCGGAUCGUAAAGCUCUGUUGUAAGAGAAGAACGAGUGUGAGAGUGGAAAGUUCACACUGUGACGGUAUCUUACCAGAAAGGGACGGCUAACUACGGG